rnacentral:rRNA from 1 species
UACGAAGGGGGCUAGCGUUGCUCGGAAUCACUGGGCGUAAAGGGUGCGUAGGCGGGUCUUUUAAGUCAGGGGUGAAAUCCUGGAGCUCAACUCCAGAACUGCCUUCGAUACUGGCGAUCUAGAGUCCGGAAGAGGUGAGUGGAACUCCUAGUGUAGAGGUGGAAUUCGUAGAUAUUAGGAAGAACACCAGUGGCGAAAGGGCGG